ensembl:ncRNA lncRNA:CR45183 long non-coding RNA:CR45183
GACCAGAGUCAGGCGCCAGUGUGGCGCCAACGCCGAAGGAUACGUAUGUUUUUGUGGAGCGCGUCGCAGGCUUCUGCCCCAUCGACGAUGUGCUUAUUUAGAUGUGCGCACAACUAUGCAGAGCGAAAAAAUUACAGACGCAGCUUCCUUGGCGGCGAGGAUGGCAGGACGACUGGUCGACGAACAGCAAAGUGGAAAAAAUUGCAAAUUUGAGUUUUGUGUUUUGUGGCUGGUCGUAAGGCCAAAGUGAAGGACAACCCGGUGGGGACGCACAGCGCCCAAUGUCGUUUAUUUUUGGCGCGAGACUCGGCGGCGCCACUAAAGAAAUGUCUGCACAUACUUUUAUGCUUUCGAAGUCUCGCAUGGAGGCCAAGUUCCAGGGACUGGGACAUAAUAGAGCUGCUAAAACUUCGCCGGGUGGUGCGCUUAACGAGUCUAGUGGGCGGUCGCUAAAAAAUGAUUGAUUAUCGCCAAUCAAGAUGAAGUCGGGUUGUUGCCUCUGAAGCUCCUCCCCAUCACCAUUUGUCGCCGACUUUUGGUGGCACUCAGCAUAAAUCGCCGACUUGGCAUUAGUUUAACUGCUUUUGGCAUAUCCAGUGGCAUAUAUUCGAAAUGGCUUAUUUGUGAAAAGUAGUAAUAGCGGCGUGGAAUUGAUUUCAUGCUCGAUUGAUGACAGCGAUAU